GACGAACGCUGGCGGCGUGCUUAACACAUGCAAGUCGAACGGAAAUGCUCUGCUUGCAGGGUACUCGAGUGGCGAACGAUUGAGUAACACGUGGGUGAUCUGCCCUGCACUUCGGGAUAAUCCUGGGAAACUGUGUCUAAUACCGGCUAGGAUCCAUUCUUCGUGUGAUGGUUGGAAAGCUUUUUCGGUGUAGGAUGAGCUCGGGGCCUAUCAGCUUGUUGGUGGGUUAAUGGCCUACUAAGGAGGCGACGGGUAGCCGGCCUGAGAGGGUGGACGGCGACAUUGGGACUGAGAUACGGCCCAGACUCCUAAGGGAGGCAGCAGUGAGGAAUAUUGAACAAUGGGCGAAAGCCUGAUGCAGCGAGGAGGCGUGGGGGAUGACGGAAUUCGGGUUGUGAACUGCUUACGCUAGGGACGAAGCUUUUUGAGAAGGUAACUAGAGAAGAAGCACCGGCUAAAUAAGUG
rnacentral:rRNA from 1 species